UUAGUAUGUCAAAUUUCGGAUGAUUAUAUAUAUAUCUGUCAAUCACCUAAUAAUCCCAACUACAUAUAUAAUCGGGAGAAAUUGUUAGGAAUGCCCUUUCAAACUACUCCUUUUCAAUUCUAUCAUUUUUUGUAAUUUAUUUUCAUUUAUCCCAUCUUUUGAUUUUUUAUGGUCAUUUUACUCUUAUUUGAAAAUAUUUUAGG
rnacentral:sRNA from 1 species